ensembl:ncRNA F55D10.6 ncRNA
AAGCACUUUGACGGGGGAUAAUUGGAAGAAGUGCUCUGAUUGAGAGCAAAUGUGUGGAGCACAAAUACAUGCGCAUACAUCUUCAUGCUCCACCAACUUUUCAACCUUUUUUGAGGAAAGAAGAAAACGUCGUCGCUACAC